rnacentral:rRNA from 1 species
CCUACGGGUCGCACCAGUGGGGAAUAUUGCACAAUGGGGGAAACCCUGAUGCAGCGACGCCGCGUGGAGGAUGACGGGUCUAGGCCUGUAAACUCCUUUUAUCGGGAAAGACUUAGGACGGUACCCGAUGAAUAAGCACCGGCUAACUACGUGCCAGCAGCCGCGGUAAGACGUAGGGUGCGAGCGUUGUCCGGAUUUACUGGGCGUAAAGAGCGCGUAGGCGGAUCGGUAAGUGUGAAGUGAAAUCUCCAGGGCUCAACCCGGAAACUGCUUCGCAUACUGUCGAUCUGGAGGAACGGAGAGGUGAGUGGAAUUCCUGGUGUACCGGUGAAAUGGGUAGAUAUCAGGAGGAACACCCAUGGCGAAGGCAGCUCACUGGCCGUUAUCUGACGCUGAGGCGCGAAAGCGUGGGUAGCAAACAGGAUUAGAUACCCGGGUAGUC